rnacentral:rRNA from 1 species
GACGAACGCUGGCGGCGUGCUUAACACAUGCAAGUCGAACGGAAAGGCCCUGCUUUUGUGGGGUGCUCGAGUGGCGAACGGGUGAGUAACACGUGAGUAACCUGCCCUUGACUUUGGGAUAACUUCAGGAAACUGGGGCUAAUACCGGAUAGGAGCUCCUGCUGCAUGGUGGGGGUUGGAAAGUUUCGGCGGUUGGGGAUGGACUCGCGGCUUAUCAGCUUGUUGGUGGGGUAGUGGCUUACCAAGGCUUUGACGGGUAGCCGGCCUGAGAGGGUGACCGGCCCCAUUGGGACUGAAAUACGGCCCAGACUCCUACGGGAGGCAGCAGUGGGGAAUAUUGCACAAUGGGCGGAAGCCUGAUGCAGCAACGCCGCGUGCGGGAUGACGGCCUUCGGGUUGUAAACCGCUUUCGCCUGUGACGAAGCGUGAGUGACGGUAAUGGGUAAAGAAGCACCGGCUAACUACGUG